GGCUGGUUAGCUCAGUAGGUUAGAGCAUGGUGCUGAUAACACCAAGGUCGUGGGUUCGGUCCCCGUGCAGUCCC
rnacentral:tRNA from 1 species